rnacentral:rRNA from 1 species
UACGAAGGGGGGCUAGCGUUGUUCGGAAUUACUGGGCGUAAAGCGCGCGUAGGCGGUUUUGCAAGCCAGAGGUGAAAUGCCUGAGCUCAACUUAGGAAUUGCCUUUGGGACUGCGAGGCUUUGAGGACUGGAGAGGUGAGUGGAAUUCCCAGUGUAGAGGUGAAAUUCGUAGAUAUUGGGAAGAACACCGGUGGCGAAGGCGGCUCACUGGCCAGUUUCUGACGCUGCAGCGCGAAAGCGUGGGGGAGUCAAAACA